rnacentral:tRNA from 1 species
UCAGCUUGUAAUUUAACUUAAAAUAUUAGUUUUGGAGACUAAAAAUGUAAUUUUUUAUUUGGCUG